rnacentral:rRNA from 1 species
GGAGUUAGCCGGUGCUUCUUCUGUGAGUGAUGUCCUUCCUGCCGGCUAUUAACCCGCAGGCCUUCUUCCUCACUGAAAGUGCUUUACAACCCGAAGGCCUUCUUCACACACGCGGCAUGGCUGGAUCAGGGUUGCCCCCAUUGUCCAAUAUUCCCCACUGCUGCCUCCCGUAGGAGUCUGGGCCGUGUCUAAGUCCCAGUGUGGCUGAUCAUCCUCUCAGACCAGCUACGGAUCGUCGCCUUGGUGAGCCGUUACCUCACCAACCAGCUAAUCCGACAUAGGCUCAUCCGAUAGCGCGAGGCCCGAAGGUCCCCCGCUUUCCCCCGUAGGGCGUAUGCGGUAUUAGCCUGGGUUUCCCCAGGUUAUCCCCCACUACCGGGCAGAUUCCUAUGCAUUACUCACCCGUCCGCCGCUCGCCACCAGGGAGCAAGCUCCCCGUGCUGCCGCUCGACUUGCAUGUGUUAGGCCUGCCGCCAGCGUUCAAUCUGAGCCAGGAUCAAACUCUGA